CUCUUGAUUUUCGUUCCUUCCUUCUUUUUCUCCCUCUUCGUCUUCCCUCUCUUUUAUUUGUUUCGUGUACAAUUGAUUUUCAUUUCUGGAAUAUCCUCUCUCUCUUUAAUCUCAUCUUCCUAUAUGAAGAAAAAAUUUUAAACUCCAUUUUUGUAUUCAUCUCUCAUCAUUUGAAAAAAAUUCUCCAUUUCCUCUCUCUUAUGCAUCAACUAAACCCUAGGUAUCCUCGAUCCCUAAUACCUUUGUCCUUGGUUUUCCUAAUUUCUUUGCCUAACUCUCACUAAGCAUUCAUGAGGAGGUUCGCAAGCGGUACACUACGCAGUAGAAGCUCUACAUCACGACGAUGACUUGGUUGUUUGACUUUGAUUGAUUCCACUGUGUAGGCGCCGUCUGCAUUGGAGUGCUUGUUGGCUGCGAGGGAGAAUCCGAGCCAGGGGUUGAUGUCGGAGGUGUUGAUCUUGUACUCAUUUGGAAUUUGAGACUUCAGGAACUGGAGUUACAUAUGAAACAGGGGACCAUGUUGGUGUUUACUGUGAGAAUUUGUCUGAAAUUGUGGAAGAGGCAUUAAGGUUAUUAGGUUUGUCACCAGAUACCUAUUUCUCUAUCCAUGUUGAUGGUGAAGAUGGGAAACCACUUAGCGGAAGCUCCUUGCCACCUCCAUUCCCACCUUGUACUCUAAGAACUGCAAUUGCACGAUAUGCGGAUGUUUUGAGUUCACCCAAAAAGUAUGUCUUGCUUGCCUUAGCUGCUCAUGCAUCUGAUCCAUCUGAAGCUGAUCGUCUAAGGCAUCUUGCCUCACCUGCCGGAAAGGAUGAAUAUUCAGAGUGGGUGACUGCCUUUCAGAGAAGUCUCCUUGAGGUCAUGGUUGAAUUUCCAUCAGCCAAACCUCCACUUGGUGUCUUUUUUGCGGCAGUUGCUCCUCGUCUGCAGCCAAGAUUUUAUUCAAUCUCCUCAUCUCCAAGAAUGGCGCCAAACUGAAUUCAUGUUACUUGCGCAUUAGUAUGCGACAAAAUGCCCACCAGAAGGAUUCACAAAGGAGUGUGUUCUACGUGGAUGAAGAUGAUAUCAUCAUCACAGGUAAUUUGAUGUUGUUGCUGAGGUUUGCAAGGAGUCAAAAGAGUUGCCAUCAAGGACAAAAAGAAUGUCAAUAAAAAUUGGACCAAGCAACUUUGCUACAAGAAAGAAGAAAAAUGAAAACCAUUACAUUUAGUUUUGUUCGUAAGCCAAAUUUAUUUUAGAAGAGUUACAAGUUAAUUUUUCCCGUGCAUGAAUCAAUCUAUGGCCAUUCAAAUUAUGAACAGAGGGUUAUGGGUACAAUAUACAUUUACCUAAUGAUUUUUUUCUUGUUUUGAGAAGUUGCUUUAUCAAUUAUAUUUGUAUUACAAGUAGCAUGAAAUUGGAUUAAAUUGUAAGUCUUUAAAUUAAGCAUCCAAUUGAUGCCAAAUGUGCUUAUAAUAUUAUUUAAGGUCAAAAGCUCUUUGAUGAUCAUGUGUCAAUUUAUUGUUCACAUUGUUAUGUCUUCCGUAUUAUAAUAAUAAUUAUUAUUAUUAUAAUAAUAAAAUUAUUAUUAUUAUUAUUAUUAUUAUUAUUAUUAUUAUAAUAGUAAUAAUUAACUAUAUGUCUUCCACAUUGUUCUUGCCUCGUAUAUGUUUUGAAUUUACUCACACACCAUGGGUCUAUUUCCAUUUUGAGAGAUAUAGAAUGCUUACAAGAUUCAAUCAGAUUUUAUGCAUACUCUAUAUCUUUAUAGUUUAAUUCCUACGCCAACAUUUGUUUUUUAUUACAUUGUAGUCCCAGAAUUCCAAAAUUGUAAGGACCUAAAAGCAGCACACUUAAUGGUCGCUAGUCUUUUUGGGAGUUUGGCUCAUGUUACUUGCAAGAUUCAUUUUGAUACAAUGAGCCCUGAGAUCUACAGAGACUCGAAAGAGAAAAUUGAUGCUUUGGUUGUAGGGAUAGGAACUAGAGGAUCAAUAACAAGGGCUGGAAAAUUCCUCAAGCAGACUUUCUUUAUUGUAUCUAAUUAGACUUUCAUUUUAUUUGACUUUAUAAAAAAGAUAUUGUAAUAUUGCACUA